AACGAACGCUGGCGGCAUGCCUAACACAUGCAAGUCGAACGAAACCUUCGGGUCUAGUGGCGCACGGGUGCGUAACGCGUGGGAACCUGCCCUUAGGUUCGGAAUAACUCCCCGAAAGGGGUGCUAAUACCGGAUAAUGUCUUCGGACCAAAGAUUUAUCGCCUUUGGAUGGGCCCGCGUUGGAUUAGCUAGUUGGUAGGGUAAAAGCCUACCAAGGCGACGAUCCAUAGCUGUUCUGAGAGGAUGAUCAGCCACACUGGGACUGAGACACGGCCCAGACUCCUACGGGAGGAAGCAGUGGGGAAUAUUGGACAACGGGCGAAAGCGUAAUCCAGCAAUGCCGCGUGAGUGAUGAAGGCCUUAGGGUUGUAAAGCUCUUUUACCCGGGAUGAUAAUGACAGUACCGGGAGAAUAAGCUCCGGCUAACUCCGUG
rnacentral:rRNA from 1 species